UUUUUCCUCUUAUUUUUAGUUUCAGAUAAAUAAAUUUAGUUUGAGUUUCAAAAUGCAUUUAAGUUUUUUGCUAUUAUUAUUUUAUUUUGUAUGUCAAUUGUUGAUCAAGUUGACAAAGAGUUGUAAUGAGGAUGAAGAGGAAAGAUUAACUAGCUUUAAAUAUUUAUUAAUUUCUAGAUUUAUAUAAAGCAUAAAUUUGUUUACUCCUAACCCAUAAUUUCAGGUACCAAGUUUCUCUUUUUUGCUGAUAGAAAAUUUGUUGGUUGUGUUUGAGAAGUUGGGUGGGAAUGUUUUGGUUAGAAGGACCAAUACACUACUAACAAAUCUGACAGUAAACUCCAUUAGUUGGCUGGACAUCAUGGUAAUUGAGAAGCAUCACCAAAAAGUGAUCUUCAACUUUUUCAUCUUUGUGAGCAAGUUGGGCAAGUGUUGUUUUUCUGACACCUCCCAUGCCUAAAGUUGCAACUACGCCCAUAUUGUUAUGGUUGCGUGUUCUCCGUCUUGCAUCGAAGGGAGUCAUAGUUAAUUUGGUUGAGCAGAUCUUCAGCAUUGUAGACAGCAUCUUUCAAGCCAUCAAGCCACUCUUUGACAAAAGUAGUUGGAGAUUGUUGAUCUUAAAGAUAUUGUUGGUAAAGCUCCUUCGAGGAAGCCGAUGACAAUAGUGAAAGAAACUAAUGGGAAGUUGAAUGUCAAGAAAGAAAUGGUGACUCCUGUGAUUAGAGCUAAUUAGGUGAAAUAGGGCUUUCUAGGUAUUAAACUAUUUUUGGAAGAGCUCUUUCAUGUCGAGUCUGAAAGGGGUGCCUUAUUGAAAAGUACAUUUGUCGAAAUUGAUUGAUCGCUUUUACGAACAUCACACUCAGUGGAAGUAAUUGGUGUAUGCAAAUGCUGGUAUGAGCGAACCAUUUUUUGAAAUUGCAACAGGGUUUGGUGACUCUUUGAAGUUAUAUCUAUAUUGGUUAUUGAACAUUAGAGGAUAAUGUUUUUGUCAAUAUGAUACUGUUUAGCAAUUAUUGUAUUGCUAUUGAACCAAUAUGUUUUGUAUUGGUUCAAAGCUAGGAUUUGGGUUUGACACCAAUAAGGGUUCAUGCUCAGUUUAUUGAGAAGAUCUUGCUUGCGUCGGUGCUUUUAGCAUUUGGGAGGGUUGCGUGAUAUCCAAUUUGAUGUUCUUACUUCUGUUGGCAAUCUUGGAUGUGUUUUGUCUAUCUGUUUUGACAGCCUCUUUGGUUUGUAAGCAGAAAGAGUUUGUUCAUAUGUGCAUUUGUAGGUUGUGAUAAUGAUUAUGCAUUUGUUGGUUGGAGUAGCUGCUGAUGUAAUUUAGAGCUUUAUUGUGGGAGGUGUACAGGUUUUCGACAGUCUUUUAGCACGGAUGCCCGAACAUGUCAUCAUGAGGUACAUACCCAACAAUUCUUCACCAGUAAAUUUCUUUGUAUUGCUUUGUAUUGCUGUUGGGAAGAGAAAACAAUGUAUGAUUACUUGCUUAACCCCAAGAAGGAAAUGAAAGCUCUGGAGAGAUUUGUUUCUUUUUCUUUUCCAGCUAGAAGAUUUUGUGAAUGCUAAUGUGAAUUUCAAUUAGAGAGCUUUCAAUGGAAAUUCAGUCUUUAAACUAUCAUUAGUUACAAAACUGGAGUAAGAAUGUCUACUGAGUCAGUUCCCAAACCUCUAUCUGUGCUUUGUCCUGAAUUCUGGUAGUACCUUCAAAAGGCUCCAAAUUUAUAUGUGCACAGUGUGGUGGAUGUGGCACAAUUCUUCAAGGUUAAAAAUCUCAUUAUUGUUUAUAUUCUUACUUUUAAACACAUUGUUGUCAAGUAACAGUUAGCUAUAGUGUAGUGGAAUUUUAAAAACCUGCCGUUGUUCCACUAUAUGCGGGUUGGUACAAACUGUUGUCGAAGAGUUGCUAUACCGGUAUAACGUUGUGGAAUUUGAACAACCCGUUAUUUCCUACCAUCCCCACUUGACAAUAUUAUUUUCAAGUUUCGUUCCCUUUGGAAACAUGAUGUUGGAAAAUAUUUGUAUAUCUU